AUACCCAUUUGUGAUUUCUGUUGCUCUGUUUAAACUGAGCUAAUGCCUAAUGAGACUGCUUUGGGCAGCUCAGAGUGAAAUUCCUUGCAAGAGUGAGGGUGACGAAAUUUUACAGAUUUUGAAGCUUGUUUUGGAUUUGGUUGUCAUUAUCUGUUUGUAAUUUUAUUUGUAUUUGUCUUUUCAAUUCAGAAUUUAGUUUUGUUUGAACAGAAUAGAAAAGGAAUAACCUCAAUUAUCCCAACAAGAAAAGAAUUGCUACUAUUGUUUACAGCUUCUAAUGAUACUGAAUGAGUUUCCAGUGUUCGCUGGUGUUUCAUAUUGUUGCUAUAGUUAGCAGUAAACUUUCUUAUACAAAUGAUGAUCCAAAAUAUACAUGAGUUGUUCUUAUUCCUUUUUCUUUCUUUUUUUCCCUGCUACAUGGGGGUCUAAAAAGACCUGGAAAAGGUUUUUUUUUUUAAAAAGGUUAAGUAAUAGCUGAGAUUCUAUUGCUGGUAACUCCACCCAAAUCAUCAAGGUAAACUUCAGUGACUUGUGAAGGAGGAUAUUCAAGACCCACACUUGGAAAGACCAUCCGCGAUCAUGUUCAAUUCAUGGAGAUGGUUGCUAAGGAGUUUGGCAUACCAGUUCAAUUUCAGCGGUUUUGGCUGUGGGCUAAGUGUCAAAACCAUACAUAUCGUCCAAACCGUCCGUUGAUUCCCAUGAAGGAACCACAACAUGUUGGGCAGUUGAGGGAGGUAUCAAAUAAGGCUCAUUACUUCAUAAUGCAGAACCCAAGUUGUUCUUGGAAAUAGAGCUUGGACAGGAAAUUAAGUACGAGCCAACUGUCAUGGGUGAACCCAUCGACAUGAAAUUCACAUUUUGAGCAAGCCAGCUGCUGAGAUCCUCAAAAGUAUCAGCAAGUGUUCUUGGUGCAGCCGCUGUAUUAUGGAUUUUCUUUGAGUUGCUUGAAUACCAUUUGAUCCCCUUGGGCUCUACUAGAUCCAGCCCCACAAAUCUCAAUAGUUAAAUUCCUGAGAAGUGUGUCAUGGAGCUUGCCUCUGCAAUGAGGAUUGAACUCAACAAAGGGUUCCAUGUUUUGUGGGAUAUUGCAUUUUGAAGAGGUUUGAAGACAUUCCUUGGUGUAAGUUGAUUGUUCCCUCAUAGUUGGGAUGUAUAAAUACACAAUUGUUGCGCGUACAUACUCCUUAGGUGUCCCUUUGGUUAUCAGAUUAUAGCUGUCCUCUGGAUUCUGUCAAAGAUUGGGAAAUGGUUCGACUUCCUGACCUUAUUACUUGAGUGAAGAUUUCAUUCUACCCUUGUCUACCUUCGGAAGUUUUUCUGCAUUUUGGUUUUAAAUCCUUUCAUUUUUAAUAGGCAUCAUCUUGAAAAUUGAAUGACAGCUUUUGUCUUGCUGUACACCCCGCCGGUGAUCUAUGAGAAAUAUGUUGUCCAGAUUGAUGUUUUUACUGAGAAGACAUGGAUAAAGUUUAAGAAGACAGGUUUCAAGUAAGAUACACAAGGGUCCGGUGAAAGAGAAGAAGGAUUGGAGACACAAUGCAGUGUUUAAUAUCAUCUCAAGUUCCAUCACAUGCUUCUCUUGCAUCCCAGGUCCCCAAUUUACAUAUUCACCAGAUUUUCUUAAAUGUUGGCACAUAUAUCAGUUGUCGCAUUGAAAGGUCUUAUACUCUUAUUUCCACGGUUCAGUAUGUGUUAUAGCUAAUCCUCAAGAAACAUGCAAGAUACCUUGGACAAACGGAAAACUGUCUCUGAGCUUGAUUACAGCUCCCCUGCUCUGGGAUCAUUUAUAAUUUCAUUCACAUUAUUUAAAUAUCAUGUAGUUUAUGCCGGAUGAAAAAAUUACGAAAAGUAGCAAAAACUCCAAUUUGAAUGGACAAAUGUGACC